rnacentral:rRNA from 1 species
GAUGAACGCUAGCGGCAGGCCUAACACAUGCAAGUCGAGGGAGAAGCCCUUUCGGGGGCAGAAACCGGCGCACGGGUGCGUAACGCGUAUGCAACCUACCUUUCACAGGGGGAUAGCCCGAAGAAAUUUGGAUUAAUACCCCAUAAUAUUAUUGGAUGGCAUCAUUUGAUAAUUAAAACUGCGGUGGUGAAAGAUGGGCAUGCGUCCCAUUAGCUAGUUGGAGUGGUAACGGCACCCCAAGGCUACGAUAGGUAGGGGUCCUGAGAGGGAGAUCCCCCACACUGGUACUGAGACAGGGACCAGACUCCUACGGGAGGCAGCAGUGAGGAAUAUUGGUCAAUGGUCGGAAGACUGAACCAGCCAUGCCGCGUGCAGGAAGAAUGCCUUAUGGGUUGUAAACUGCUUUUAUAUGGGAAGAAUAAGGCGUACGUGUACGUUGAUGACGGUACCAUAUGAAUAAGCAUCGGCUAACUCCGUG